GCUUGGGUUGGCCACACAUUGUGUGGACCCACAAAUUAAUUUAAGAUGAUAGGUUUCACCAGAGUUUUGAGCUUUUAUCAUGACUUAUGGGCUUGGGUUUAACCACCAGGUUUGGUGGUGACCAAGUUCUGGGGUCUAGGAGUGAGAUGUUAUGGUUCGGUUGGAAGUGUCUAGCAUGGAUUGAGCCCCUGGGGGUGUGAGUGGGGUGGGCGAGCCUUCCAUGUAAUUUAGUGUCGACAGUGUUGCUUGCCCUGCCCUGUCAUGCUGGAAAACGUGGUUGGCUCCUUCAUUCACAUCAGUCUUCAGCUUACCUUGAAGGUUACCGGUUUCUAGGAGCUCUUUCUCUGUGAAGAGAUGCAGGCAGGGCUGUGGAUUUCACUCUUUGAUCCCUCUUGGGGAAGUCUACGGAGAGCUUGGGCAAUGCUCUCGCUCUCUGGAAGUAAAGGGUCGGCUGUUGCAAGACUGUCUAAAAUUUCUAUUGUGAGCUGUAGUUGGGCAUCUGGACUGGUUGCUAGGCUGUUCUGUAGUAGUGGGUUUAGAGACUGGGUCAAUCUCAGUCCUUGCUGGACUGGGGGAGAAGUGCCCACUCCUCCGAAAAGGCCGGGGUUAGAUCUGAUUCAGUCUCCUUGCUCACUGCUCCGGUUCUUCCUGGCAGUUGGUCUAGAAGCUUAAUUAUGGCUUACAGUGGGAAUGGUAGAUUUUCUUAUAACUGUUCAUUCUUUCUUCCUGGGAAUACAGACUUGCUUUUGGAAUGGUCUUUAGUUGUUCUUGGUUGGCGUAUGAGGGCACCAUAUUACAGUCAACAAACUCUUUGGCCAGGCCAAAAUCAAUACGCUCUAUUCUUGGGUCAGACUUUAGGUAUUGGGUCAGAAUCCUUCUCUUCUUAGGGGGAAAAGGGUCUUGAUACUUGCCGAUCCCACAAAAUGGCAGUACUUCAAAGCAUUAGCUAACUUCACACGGUUUCACUUGUCAAUAUCUGUUUGUUACGAAAAUGCCAAAUUCCUCAGUUUUGCCGCUUAUGUGUUUAUGUGAUCCCAAAGCUUAUCUUUAUAUUGUAGCUGGCGAGAUGACCAUCAAGGCUGAAAUAUGGCAACACUGUGCAGUUUUGAGAGUAAACGGACAGCUGGCGAGAUGACCAUCAAGGCUGAAAUAUGGCAACACUGUGCAGUUUUGAGAGUAAACGGACAGCUGGCGAGAUGACCAUCAAGGCUGAAAUAUGGCAACACUGUGCAGUUUUGAGAGUAAACGGACAGCUGGCGAGAUGACCAUCAAGGCUGAAAUAUGGCAACACUGUGCAGUUUUGAGAGUAAACGGACAGCUGGCGAGAUGACCAUCAAGGCUGAAAUAUGGCAACACUGUGCAGUUUUGAGAGUAAACGGACAGCUGGCGAGAUGACCAUCAAGGCUGAAAUAUGGCAACACUGUGCAGUUUUGAGAGUAAACGGACAGCUGGCGAGAUGACCAUCAAGGCUGAAAUAUGGCAACACUGUGCAGUUUUGAGAGUAAACGGACAGCUGGCGAGAUGACCAUCAAGGCUGAAAUAUGGCAACACUGUGCAGUUUUGAGAGUAAACGGACAGCUGGCGAGAUGACCAUCAAGGCUGAAAUAUGGCAACACUGUGCAGUUUUGAGAGUAAACGGACAGCUGGCGAGAUGACCAUCAAGGCUGAAAUAUGGCAACACUGUGCAGUUUUGAGAGUAAACGGACAGGUAUGUAUCAAAUUCAGCCUAUAAAUGCUGUAAUCUGUGGGACAUUUUAAGUGAAACUUUUCUGUGUAUCAAGCUUUUAAGCGGAGGUCCACCCAAAAAUGGAACUUCUGCUUUAAGUGACCGUGAGCCCUUUGACAUGCCACAUUUGGAAAAUGGUGAACUGUCAACAAGGGCCCGGAAGUGAUGUCUCAUGUCAUUUCUGGGUCAGCAGCAGGGAGGAGGGGGAGAGCAGAUGUGCACCUAUGCCAGUCUCAAGCCUGCAGAUCAGCAAGCCGAGCCCGGGAUACUUGGGGUAGGUGUACGGGGUGUGAAGCAUUUGGUGGCAGCUCAAGCAGUGUGUGGGAGUGUGUUUUGUUGGCCUUGGCGACCUGACGCCUGGGGUUUGUCGAGCCCUUAAACAUGAGGAAAGUACAGAGGCCGCCAUUGCUGAAGCCUGAUUUUGAGAAGGUUUGUUCUGGCUAUCUGGUGCUUUGGCCUCAACACUUUGUUUGAAUUUUAUAUUUCUCAGGUCAGACACUCAAUCACAGAAUGCUUGUUUUCAGACUCAUUUUUUAAAGCCAAAUUCUCCAGGCAACAAGUCCAUUAGUUUCUUU